UACGGGGGGAGCAAGCGUUGUUCGGAUUUACUGGGCGUAAAGCGUGCGCAGGCGGUUGUGCAAGACCGAUGUGAAAUCCCCGGGCUUAACCUGGGAAUGGCAUUGGUGACUGCACGGCUAGAGUGUGUCAGAGGGGGGUAGAAUUCCACGUGUAGCAGUGAAAUGCGUAGAGAUGUGGAGGAAUACCGAUGGCGAAGGCAGCCCCCUGGGAUAACACUGACGCUCAUGCACGAAAGCGUGGGGAGCAAACAGG
rnacentral:rRNA from 1 species